rnacentral:rRNA from 1 species
UACGGGGGGGGCAAGCGUUGUUCGGAAUUACUGGGCGUAAAGGGCUCGUAGGUGGCCAACUAAGUCAGACGUGAAAUCCCUCAGCUUAACUGGGGAACUGCGUCUGAUACUGGAUGGCUUGAGUUUGGGAGAGGGAUGCGGAAUUCCAGGUGUAGCGGUGAAAUUCGUAGAUAUUAGGAAGAACACCGGUGGCGAAGGCGGCCCACUGGCUCGAUACUGACGCUGAGAUGCGAAAGCGUGGGGAGCAAACAGG